CUUUGAAGGAAAUUAGAGCUCUCCUUUGGGGAUCACUGGCUUUCUUUUCUGGUGAACAGCACAGAACCUGGCGCUGGGACAGAGAGGAAGGGGUAAUGGGUAUCUUUGCCAAACUCAUGACUACACAGAAUGGAUAGCCAAGUUGGAAUUUUUACCAGAGACCAAGAGCAGGCCAAGUCAAUGAUGAGUAGAGUCUGAGGAAAGCCAAGACAAUUUGGAGGUUCCUUCAAACUGGAGUCUGGAGGCGUGACUUCAAACUACUUAAAAUGAGAUAAGCUGCAGACCAGUGGUGCACAGGUAGAUAAGCAGACAAAGCAGGAAAUCCUAGAUACAGGACAGCUCUUCUCUGAAGUCUUCAGUUUGAGAAUCAUUCGGAAUUACACCAAGUCUACUUCUUCCCUGUUGAAGGGGGAAGAAAAAAAAAAGAAGCAAUCUGAAGUACAAUUAAUGUCUGUCCUCCAAAGGCUGGAAGUCAUCAGGAAUGGAAGUCCUGGUAGAUGAAUUCACUACCACAGAGUUGCUGUUUUCUGUCUCAGAGGUUAAGAGAGGGAUGGAUUCAUCCAACUCCUGGAGUAGAGAGCUGAGAAAAACCACAAAAAUGUCUUCAGAAGCAGCAACCUCAGAAGAGUCAAGUAGGAAUUAGAGUAAAUAAGCCUGUGGUUGGCAUCACCAUCCAAAGACAAAAAACAAGGAAUAGCAAACAAGUGCUUCAGUUAACGAAGGAACGGAUGAGCACUAAGAAUUAACAAUGACAGGGAUGACUACAAUGAAAAAGUCCUUAACUUAGCAAUGAAGUUCUUCUAUCUUAUUGUUAAUAAUAAGUCAUAGAUAGGACCUGGGAUUUUCACAUCUUACAUGUUGGGUCCCCAGAAAAGCUACACCAAGUUUGAAACAGGCUAGAUCAAUUCAAAACAAUAGUUAUUGAGCCCCUACCAGUGUGUGUAUUUUUAACAGCCAGACAGAGGGUACAUUAGCUCAAAAGAAAAGAUAUUUUAUCAAACAAAAUAAUAAAUAAAGUUAUAAGCAUAGAUCAGAGUGUAUAUGUAGGGCACAG